rnacentral:rRNA from 1 species
AGUCGAGCGGAUGAGAAGAGCUUGCUCUUCGAUUCAGCGGCGGACGGGUGAGUAAUACCUAGGAAUCUGCCUGGUAGUGGGGGACAACGUUUCGAAAGGAACGCUAAUACCGCAUACGUCCUACGGGAGAAAGCAGGGGACCUUCGGGCCUUGCGCUAUCAGAUGAGCCUAGGUCGGAUUAGCUAGUUGGUGAGGUAAUGGCUCACCAAGGCUACGAUCCGUAACUGGUCUGAGAGGAUGAUCAGUCACACUGGAACUGAGACACGGUCCAGACUCCUACGGGAGGCAGCAGUGGGGAAUAUUGGACAAUGGGCGAAAGCCUGAUCCAGCCAUGCCGCGUGUGUGAAGAAGGUCUUCGGAUUGUAAAGCACUUUAAGUUGGGAGGAAGGGCAGUAAGCGAAUACCUUGCUGUUUUGACGUUACCGACAGAAUAAGCACCGGCUAACUCUGUGCCAGCAGCCGCGGUAAUACAGAGGGUGCAAGCGUUAAUCGGAAUUACUGGGCGUAAAGCGCGCGUAGGUGGUUCGUUAAGUUGGAUGUGA